GUAGGGUGGCAAGCGUUGUCCGGAAUUAUUGGGGCGUAAAAGCGCGCCCAGGGCGGUCCUUUAAGUCUGAUGUGAAAGCCCACGGCUCAACCGUGGAGGGUCAUUGGAAACUGGGGGACUUGAGUACAGAAGAGGAAAGCGGAAUUCCAAGUGUAGCGGUGAAAUGCGUAGAGAUUUGGAGGAACACCAGUGGCGAAGGCGGCUUUCUGGUCUGUAACUGACGCUGAGGCGCGAAAGCGUGGGGAGCAAACAGGAUUAGAUACCCUGGUAGUCCACGCCGUAAACGAUGAGUGCUAAGUGUUAGGGGGUUUCCGCCCCUUAGUGCCGCAGCUAACGCAUUAAGCACUCCGCCUGGGGAGUACGGCCGCAAAGGCUG
rnacentral:rRNA from 1 species